ACUGUAGCUCAGUGGGUAGAGCAUCAGCUUUGCAUGCCAAAAGUUCCCUGUUCAAUCCCUGGCAUCUGCA